rnacentral:misc_RNA from 1 species
UCCUAAUUCAGUACUCUACGUGAGUUUUGGGAGUAUUGCAGCUAUAAAUGAGGCUGAAUUUCAAGAGAUAGCUUGGGGGCUAGCCAACAGCAAGCAACCCUUCUUGUGGGUGGUUCGACCUGGAUUAGUCAAUGGCUCUGAAUGGCUUGAACCAUUGCCUGAUGGGUUCUUGGAGAUGACUGGAGGAAGAGGACUUAUUGUGAAAUGGGCUCCCCAGCAGGAAGUGCUUGCACACCCUGCCAUUGGAGGGUUUUGGACACACAAUGGCUGGAAUUCAACAUUGGAAGGUCUCUGUGAAGGGGUCCCCAUGAUAUGUCUGCCUAAUUUUGGUGACCAAUUGAUAAAUGCAAGAUAUGUGAGCAAUGUUUGGAGAGUUGGAAUACAUCUAGAGAACAAUUUGGAUAGAGGAAAUAUAGAAAGUGCAAUUAAAAGGCUAAUGGUGGAGGCAGAGGGGCAGGAAUUGAGAAUAAGAACUCUAAAUUUGAAGGGUAGAGUGGAUCUUUGUCUAAGGGGAAAGGGAUCUUCUUGCCAAAAUCUUGAGCAUUUGAUCAACUACAUUUUAUCAUUCUAGUAUGCAAGGUUGCAACUUGUGUUCAAUGAUUUUGAGAAAUAAAUAUUUGUUUAUGCCAUCAAUUAAGCUUGUGGUUUAAGGUUAAUUUAUCAUAAAAUUGAGCUUACUCAAUG